UACGGAGGGAGCUAGCGUUGUUCGGAAUUACUGGGCGUAAAGCGCACGUAGGCGGCUUUGUAAGUUAGGGGUGAAAGCCCGGAGCUCAACUCCGGAAUUGCCUUUAAGACUGCAUCGCUUGAAUCCGGGAGAGGUGAGUGGAAUUCCGAGUGUAGAGGUGAAAUUCGUAGAUAUUCGGAAGAACACCUGUGGCGAAAGCGGCUCACUGGACCAUUACUGACGCUGAUGCUCGAAAGCUAGGGGAGCAAACAGG
rnacentral:rRNA from 1 species